rnacentral:tRNA from 1 species
UGGCUUGGUUGUUUAGUUGUUAACUAGAAUUUUACGGGAUCGAAGCCCGUCAGCCUAGU